AGGAGGGGGCAGCAGCGCCAUUCGCAAAGCCGGCCCGCUCCGCUCCGCUCUCAGGCUCAGGGCUGCGGAGACAGGAAUCGCAGCUUCCCCUGGAAGGGGCGUCCCAGGGGACCUCCGCCAGGCCAGGGGAACCCGGCCUCCGGGCCUGGGUGAACGUGCCUUCCAGACCAUCCUGGCAGGCCGCUGCUCCCUAGAGGCCUAAGGCGCUUGGGACAGCCUCCCACUCUACUCCUGAAUCUCUCCUCCAUCCCGGCCGGCCCCCACCCACCCCUGGUGGAACGGAGACCCCACGUCUUGCUCAGGACCUUCGCCACAAGGCCUCCCUACUCUGCCGCAGUGAGCCCUGCCAGGGAGGCAGAGCAGCAGAGCCCACCCUGCCACCGCCGCAGGGGCCCUCCCCAGGCUGGCCCUGCUGUCCCAAGGACUGAUAGUCACCAGGCUGUACAAAUAUAUCUCCUACAGCACAUCGGAUGCGAAGGGAAAACGGAGGAUCACUAUAUUGCUUAGAACUAAUCUGGUCUUUCUCUUCUGAGCCUCACCCACUAGUUAGUGGGAUGGGAGGAUAAAUGAGAUGUCCAAUCCAGUUAAACUUUGAGCUGAUAUUUUAAACCCUGCAGAAAGUGCUGGGUCUUUAGGAAAAGCGCUCAGUGUCUCUGAGAGCUGCUGCUUGCUCUGUCUCUCACUGCGGAGGCAGGGAUAUGGGGAGCGAGGGGGCUUUCCCCGCCGUGGCAGCAGAGCAGUGGGUUCCUUGGUCCCAUGAAGGUCCCUGGCUGUGUGCCAGCUGCUGCCUGCUGGUCUUUGGGGAGACGUCCUUUUGUGGCCUGUGUCGUGCUGGACCUCCUGGCCUCCAGUACUGAAUGUGUGGCCCAUUCUUCCAGCCCAGGCAGUGCCCCGAGUGGGCUGCAGCCCCAGAGCUCUCCCCGUAUCCCCCAAUGGCUCUCCAGUCUGUUCCUGGGGAGGUCCAGCCCUUGGGCGUGACCGGGCGGUCACCUUGUCUCAUAACAGCAAGCUCACUGGUGGGUCCACUGGUUCCCGACUCAGCAUCUGUGCCCCGUGGGACUGAAGGGAGCUCUGGGAAGCCCCCAGGCUGACCAUAACGCAGCUCCUUUCCGGGGCUGCAGCCUGGGUUCUUAGGGGGCAGCUUGUGAAGUGGCUUCCUCUCGGAGUCCUGAAGGGUGACAUCUCUAACGCUGUCCCUCUGCGGGCCCAGAGAUGGGAAAGCCAGGUCUUCCAUCAACUCUGUUGAUGUCUUGGCUAUUCUCAGCCAGUCCACGUCCUUCUCUUUUUAAAAGAUUCCCAGGUACAGAAAAAGCACGGUGGGCUUUCCCUUGACUUCUUUCUCUCCACAUUUCCUCCUUCCAGACUCCCCUGAACCCUUAGUGACUGGCUUUGGUAUCCAGCUGUGUAUUUUGGAAAUCCCUAGCUCAGCGCUUUAGGAUUCACCUUGAAAUACCAAGGGAAGAGGAAGAAGAAUUUGAAAAAUCCCGUCUCAGAAUAAUGGUCUGGCCUCUCAGGCAGGAACUUUCUGCAUAACCUUAUUUUGAAUGACCAAAGCUCAGCAUUGCCUGGGUGUCUCUUGGGAUUCCUCCUGUAACCGAGUUGAAUCUGCCCACAAUUUUCCCCUCUCCCCAUCUCAUCACGCCUCCUCCCCCUGCAGCCAGAUAUCUAGGGAGAACAGGGAGAGUGGGAACCGGAAGAGAAAGCAUGUUACUGCCUUGAAAUGGGAUCCCCCUUCCCCUGUCUUGCAGUCUGAAGAACUCUGUUCUCAUCAGGUCCAAAUCACUUAGCUUUUCUUCUUUCUCUUAUUGUUCUGUUAAAGCUCCAGCUAUCUAUCUCUACUCUCAUCACUCCCCAGCACACCUCAGUCCACCCUACAUACAGUAUCGUCUCCAGUCCUGCACCUUCAGGUAAGGACCACGCUUUGUCUGAUUCUUCGGAUGCACAGCCCAUGCUUUCACACUGCCAUGCCAUUGCUGCGCCGUGUCCCCACCUGAAUUUUCUAUCUUCCAGUCCUUUUUCAAGGCUCAUCUCAGUAUCACUUCCUAUGAGAAAUCUUUCUCAAGUUUACUAAGUCAGAUGAGACUUCUCCCUCCUCUAACGCCUGCACCACUCUGAAUCUCUCACAUCCUGCCUUGUAUUUAGAUAUGUGUGUAUUUAUUUCCCAGCUAGGCUGGGAUCACUCACUCAGC
rnacentral:lncRNA from 10 species